UCGAAUCAUAUUCUCCGCUUUGGCCUCCCAAGUCGGACGACUUCUUCGUGUUCAUGCCUUCUUCUUCCUCCGACGUCGCUCUCUCUCUCUUCUCUCUCUCUCUCUACAUCAGCCUUCUUCCCCAAGAAACUCGUUCCGUUGCUCAGUCAACGAACUUUCCCACGAGUCCCUCCUUUAUAUACCGAUUUCUCUCCGCUCUACCUUCUCGCCCCAAUCAAGGAGAAGCCUUCGAAAGUCGCUUUCUUGAUCCAUCCAUCGUCGCCAGUUCGAAGAAUCCCCGUGACCCAAUUCGCUAAAUGGUUCUUCCGCUGCUGAAGCUCGGGACCCUGGUCGUCAAGACGCUGAGCAAGCCCGUCGCGAGCCGGCUCAAGCAACAGGCCGCUCUCCACCCGCGGUUCCGCGAGUUCAUCGUCGGCUUCGCUCAGGCUAACCAUCGAAUCACAACAACCAUACAAAGAAGGAUCUAUGGUCAUGCAACUGACGUGGAGAUCCGGCCUUUGAAUGAACAGAAAGCUGUACAGGCUGCAGUGGACCUGAUUGGAGAACUCUUUGUCUUUUCGGUAGCUGGAGCUCUUGUGAUCUUUGAGGUGCAUAGAAGUGCUAAAUCAGAAGCCAGAAAGGAGGAAAAACGCAGGGAAGAACUGGAGGCAAUGAGGCAAAGGGAUGAAUCUUUAGAGAAGGAGGUGGAACUUCUCAAGCAAAAACUUGCAGAGCUUGAGCAACUUGCUAAGGGACGAGGACUUUCCGGCCUUUUCAACUUCAAACAUGCUAAUUCUGAAGAUGCAAAAAUAGCGAAACCAGUUUGAGGCUUUGACCAGCAGAGUAGGAGUCAUUACUAUGAUAACAACAAGAUUCAUCCAUACCGUCCUCUCAAUUGUGGAAAGCAAUUCGUCUGGUCUUCUUUGUCAAUUCUUUGAUUUGUAUCUUGCUUGGUUUGUUUCUUCAGAAAUAGAAGGCCACAUAGUCAGAUAUUUUUGGAAGAUGAGAGGAAGGCAAUUGAAUGCAACCACGGAGGAUCUUUGACCCUGGAAUGAUUAACAUAGAGGAGUUUGGUUUCUUGAUUCAUCUGCAACUUAGCUGAAAAUUGAAGUCUACUGCAGAUUUGAUGAAGUAAUUGCAGAAAGUCACCGACAUAAUAAUCCGGUAGAUUUUGCUUUUCAUCUAAAACUGGGUCCUCAUGGUCUAUAAAGGACAAUUUGAGCAGCAAUGACUGCAUAUGCGUUAUGGGCAUCAAAAUAGGAACAACCGUCAGUUGGGGUUCCAAGGAAAUCUGAAGAAAGCUAUACUGCUCAUCAAGGGCGAAAAAUGUUUCACCAUAGAAAUUUCAUGAUAGAUUGUCGAGAAAUACCCAUUUAAGCACCUUAAGGAAUGUUUUGGGACGUCAAUCAGUCUCAAUUCUUCACAAGAAUAACAGUCCCCAGUUCCUUUUAAGCAA